CCACCGACGCAGGAGAGAAGAUACAGGGAGCUAGCGAGUCUGGUAGCGGCCAUAACCACAAGCACCAAAAAAUAGGAUAAAAAAUAAAAAAAUAAAAAUCAUUUCUCUUUCCGGCUGCCUCUCUGCUGGUAGCCGCUCGCUACUGCUGCUCUAUAUAUUAAUUAUAAUUCUAAUUGAUUUAUUAAAAAUCCAACAAAACGGAUAUCUAUAAGGAUAUUGAUUGGAGUACUGAUAAAAUGACCACCACCGUCGGCGUCGGCGUCGGUGCUGGUCGCUUUAUGGCUUACUCUCCGUCUCCAUCUGCUCCCUACUCGCCUCAUAUCUCUGGUCUUCGCUCAUCGGCAGCUUCUUCUGCUCUUGUUGUUGAGCAAGAAAAAUAUUUGUCGGAGUUGUUGGCAGAGCGUCUCAAGAUUAGUCCCUUUUUGCCUGUGCUUCCUAAUACCUACCGGCUGUUGAACCAAGAAAUAUUGCGUGUAACUACACUGUUGGGGAAUGCGUCAGUUUUAGGUCAAAGUGGGCUUGAACAUGCUAGCCCUCUGGCUUCUGGAGGAAUAUUUUCAAAUGGAGCAGCUGAUGCAAAUGGAUGGGCAUCACGUUUUCAAUCAGAAAUGUCAGGUAUUUUACAGCCCUCAUCAGCACAAAACUGGCUGAGCUCUCGAGGUAGCUCAUCUGGUCUUAUUGUUAAGAGAACCAUCAGAGUGGAUAUUCCUGUCGACAAAUAUCCUAAUUACAACUUUGUUGGGCGCCUUCUUGGUCCUAGGGGGAACUCCCUUAAGCGAGUGGAAGCAAGCACAGAGUGCCGUGUUCUGAUCAGAGGCCGUGGCAGCAUUAAGGAUCCAGCCAGGGAAGAUAUGAUGAGAGGGAAACCAGGGUAUGAGCAUCUAAAUGAACCUCUCCACAUCCUGGUUGAGGGUGAAUUGCCAGUUGAAAUAGUUGACGCACAACUAAUGCAGGCACGGGAGAUACUCGAAGACUUGUUGAAGCCCGUGGAUGAAUCACAGGAUUACUACAAGAAGCAGCAGCUAAGAGAGCUAGCGUUGCUUAAUGGUACAUUUCGUGAGGAAGGUUCUCCCAUGUCAGGUUCCGUCUCCCCCUUUAACAACAGCCUAGGUAUGAAGAGGGCCAAGACAAGGGGGUAGUGGGUUCUUGAACAUAGCGGGCUCUUGGAGCUUGUUUACUAGUUCUCCCAGUGAUCAGCGGUUCUGACAGCACAGGUUAUCCUGUGUCAGCCAAUGCUCCCAACCGCCAUCGGGGCACCGGCACUGUCUGUGCCAGUUCUAACUUGUUUCUAUAUGAGGUGUGUGUUUAUCUUCUGUUUGUGGGGGGAGGUUUAAUGGCGGUAUCGCAUAUUAAGGGACCGGUUCAGUUGCGGGGUUGUGGUUUUGGGUGUUGCUCUAGGCAGUUUGGAAUCAAAGACCGCUAAUGUAUUAAAUUAAAAUUGUGAUGACAGUUUCGAUGGUCGAUGGGAAGGUCAAGGUAUGGUUUGGAGUGUUGUGUGCCGUUAAGAGUAGGCAACACUCGAAUUUGUUGAAGGCAUUCUCGGCCGUCUCCUAUUUAAGUGUAUCUGCCCUCUCGCCCCUUC